AUUGAACGCUGGCGGCAUGCCUUACACAUGCAAGUCGAACGGUAACGGGCCUUCGGGUGCCGACGAGUGGCGAACGGGUGAGUAAUGCAUCGGAACGUACCUUUCAGUGGGGGAUAACGUAGCGAAAGUUACGCUAAUACCGCAUAUUCUGUGAGCAGGAAAGCAGGGGAUCGCAAGACCUUGCGCUGAUUGAGCGGCCGAUGUCAGAUUAGCUAGUUGGUGAGGUAAAGGCUCACCAAGGCGACGAUCUGUAGCGGGUCUGAGAGGAUGAUCCGCCACACUGGAACUGAGACACGGUCCAGACUCCUACGGGAGGCAGCAGUGGGGAAUUUUGGACAGUGGGGGCAACCCUGAUCCAGCCAUGCCGCGUGCGGGAAGAAGGCCUCGGUUGUAACGCUUCGUACGGAAGAAAUACGCAUGGGUUAAGUAACCUCGUGUGGAGUGACGGUACCGUAAGAAGAAGACAC
rnacentral:rRNA from 1 species